GCUUCCACGGAGGCCUCCGUGUAGGCCGCAGUGAAGCCUGAACUCGAGUAGGGCCCAAGCCAGCCAGGAAGGAGGAGGCAGCCAGAGUGUUCUCUGCAGCAGAAGACCCCCUGCUGCACUGCUUAACCCAGACCAGCAUUUGCCAGCUAGGACAAAAACAUCUUCCUUUCCUGCUAUUGAAAGGCUGCUCUUGAUGUCGACCAGUAUCAGCACCUACAACAGCAGAGCGUGGAGAAGAGAACUUCCUUCCUUCAAGAAAAUCCUUUGAAAAAUGAAAAAUCACAGCACUUCCCUCUUUACUACGUAUAGUGGAAGAAACAAGUGGUGUCUUGGUGAAGUGAAAUCUCAGCCUAAUCCCUGAAAAAGAGAAAUAGUUUGUAUAUAGAAUUCCAUCAAAAUGUCAUUACUAAUCAAAGUAUCCCAUCGAAAUGACAUUAUCAUCUAUAAGCAAGUAGUUCAUGCAGUUAAUUGACUGUAAACAUGAGCAAACAAGAAGAGAAAGAAAGAAGAAACCCUGAUUUCAAGCCUCUGAACAGGAAUGGAGUGGCACAGAUCAUGUUUAAACUUUAACUCCCAGGAUGCUUGUUGCUAAAAUUACUUUGUAUUUUGUAUGCUUGUGUUUUAAAUUUUUAAAUCAGAUUUGUUUGAUAUUGUUAGCUCAAUAUUUUAAUUGUGUCGUUUUUACAAUCUUGUUUUUAAAUUCUGCUGUAAACCGCCUUGGGAUUGUUUUAAUGAAAGGCAGUACAUAAAUUUAACAAUAUAAAUAAAUAAAUGUGGGAGAGCUUGCAGGAAAAAUGGCUUCAUCAUGCUGUCAGUACACAAGCACACUGUGUCUGUCAACAGAGUUGGGAGUGUUCCUGUUAAUUUUUUGAGUAGGUGCAGUAUUCACAACAAACUUGCAUGGUAGUGAAAUGCUAGAAAGAGCUGCCUAAUUUUUCAUUCAAGUAUAGCAUGUGAACCAUUGUCUGGGUGGAAAUAAACUCGGAAAUAAACUUUAUUGGGGAACAAGA